rnacentral:lncRNA from 1 species
AAAAUUUUUUUCUCUCUCUUUUUUGAACGAAUAUAUUUCAACAAUGAUAAAUAAGAACGAAUUUAAGAACAAGAAUGUAUGAAGACCCGUCUAUAUUUUGAACGGAUAAAAGCCCGUGUUUAAAAUUCCAAAUACCAUCAAGAAAGUUUAUCAGAUUCUGCUGCUGCCAUAGCAACCAUAAAACAACAGUUCUAAUAAAGGCAAGCCAAAAAUCAAAGCUUUUGAGUCCAUGAGCUGAAGUAUAUACUAUACAAUCUCUCGUCAUGUGCCCAGAUUUUAUUUUAGUAGGUAAAUUGCCAAUUAGAAUCAGUGAUGAUGAUCCUCAUCUUCAACAAGUCAGGGGGUCCACCCGGACCUAUGACAUCCAACACAAAGUAUUGUAAACAUACUGGGCAUUCAUGUGGCUUGCCCUUCUCUAGCCAAAACCAAACAACGUCAUGUUCAUCUUCGCCUUUAGCUCCCGAGCAUCCCAUAAUUCCUUUAUCAUGACCAGUUGCAAUUGGCAUUAUAAGCGCCACUUUUUUCACUGAAACGACAUUCCCAGAUGAAGUAUUAAUUUGGCAAUAGACAGUGGGGAGCCAGGCAUCAAACGAUGUUGGAACAAGGGACGAAACAAUUCGAGUGUGAAAUCAAGCAGGUUUGGAAGGGCAUCGGAUCGGGCCAAGAGUUCGGAGGUAUUCCUCCCGAAUUCCGAUUAGGGAUUGGAUUGUGAUCUGAUGUAGCCCCUUGUUUCCGUGAGAAAAUAGUUGCAAGUAUCUGGCCGUCCACAAUUGUUUGGAGGAAAAGGGUUGCAUUUCAUUCAAUUUUUAGUGGCCACUUGUUAAUUAUUAACGGUCUUAAUGGCCACAUAUGAAUUCUGUCUAUCACGUGAAGACUUUUCCCUAGUUGGAUGGAUAGAAGUGAAAUGGGUG